AGGGCUUUAUUCUAGUCCAUAUAACUUUGAAAAGAUCGCUGGAUAGUAUUUGGGGAGAAAUUUUGAAUUCUUGGCUGUACCUAGUUGUCUCUUAGUACUCCCUGUAGAAUGGGUCAAACCAGUUAGCAAAGGACCCGGAAUGAUGGGCAGCUGCUUUCUUGUUGGUCAGAGAGGAGGUCCACCAAGAUUGUGCCAAAGGUUAUCAGCUAUUUGGAGUGAAAUCUUAAUUCCGAAGCUUUAAUUUUAUACCCUGACCCCUGGUUGAGGUGUGAGCGAAUCAGGUCUGUUUCAGGUUUUUUUUCCCCCUCUAACAUAUGCUCUUUAUUAAACAUAUGUAACUUUCCUUCAAUAUAUAAUAUAGAAAAUUAAAGCCUCUAACACUAGAUAAUCUACAACUGUAGAGUUUCUAUUUCUAAUUUUUGCUAUGCACAUCACAAUACAUCCUUCUCCACUGUUGCCCUCCCUUCUGUCCUCUGCUCCAGUCACACUGGCCUCCCUCUGUUUCUCAGGCAUGCUUCUGCCUCAGGGCCUUUGCACAUGCUCUUGCUCUCCAUGGGGAGCUUUUUUCUAGACAGUGACACGGCGACAUGAGUUACUCCCCCACUGGCUUGAGGUCUGUGCAUUGUUAUCUCCCUGCCCAUCCUACUUAGAGUGACAGCCCCUGAUGACCCCCGCCCCACUUCUCUGCAUGGCUUCCUCUUUAUUUUGGCCACCUGAUGUGUCGCACAUGUGACUGUCAUUUCUGCCAUCAGAGCGUAAACUCUACCAGUGCAGGCAGGAGCCUGCUUUGUUCUCCCCUAGUGUCCCUAAUGUCACGGGCAGCAACAGCACAGAGGAGAUGCCCGCUCUUGCCCAGGUAAGAGAGAGAUGAUUUUCUCGUGCUCAUGUUGUGUGAGUGUUUUAUCAUUUAGCCUCAAGUAAUCAGGAUUCCUAGAGCAUCAAACAUAAAACACAAAAAACACUGUCCAAAGCCAAGUGAUUUUUGGACUCCCUCCAGCCUGGCUCCAGUUGAGAAAUUGACAAUCACUCAUGGAGGGCGCUGUCGGAUGGGGCCAUCCUGCCCGCCAGCAGAAGCCAGGCUCUGCAGUGACCCUUAGCAGAAGGCCUGGGCCUUGGCUCUGUCCCAGGUGCCCUGCACCGGCAGGCUGGAUGUCCUGUUCUCAGCGCUACCUGUUUGUCCACUGCCCAUCAUCCCCGAGGGGGCCUCACUGGGACCCGGCUCCUCCCAGGUGUUUGCACGAUUCCAAGGGACUUGGAGUCCAGCAGCCUUGAUUCUGCCCCCCGACCCCCACCCCCUGCCCGGCUGCUGAACUACAUGGGACUUACAGGGUAGCCGAGCAUGUAUCUCCACGAUAUCCUCGCUGGGAAAGAGGGUUAUUUCUGGCUUGAACAACAUGCUGCGCUCAGGGUUGGAUCUUGUGUUUAGUGAGCCAGAGUGUUUCUUGGUGCUAGGAGGGGAGAUUUUCUUUUCUCGUGGUUUUCAUUCCAGUCGCCUUCCUUCGAGUCACACUUUGUCAGACCAAGGAGUAAGAGAGGUGAAGCUCCUGCCUCCCCAGAUGGAGGAGGACCUGUGCGCUGGAGCGGGAGGUGGGGGAUGGUUGAAGCAGCUGAUGGUUGAGGCGGGUGGUCUCCUUACUCAGAGCCCACUCCGGGCUGAGCCCCUGCCCCUCGCUUCACCUCCUUUCUUCCUGCUUUUGGUUUGAGGCAAAACAAUGAAAAGUAGAUCUCAGAUUCCUGGCCCUUUCCGACUGGAGGGUCUGGCCUGCUCACUUCACUCAGACCCCAGGUUCUGGCCCUAAGCCCAGGCGGUAUGCUUUUUUAGAACUUUUCAUUCAGUGGUUAAACUUUCCAACUCAACUGUGGCAAAAACUAUUUUCUUUUUAAUUAAGACUCAUCCUAAAAGAAAAAAAAAAAACCCAAAUCCUUCAUCCUGAAUAGGAAUUAGAUGUGGCUGUAUUUCUGUUGAAUACAUCUUUCAUUUCUUUGUGAGUUCUAGAUCUUUCUAGUAAUAAGAAAGAAAACUCAUCCUUUGGGGAGUUUAGUAGUAACCACAGUGACUGAAGGACGAGUCCAUGCUGAAGAGUGAGCAGGUCACUGACACCGUUAAUGACAGUCUUAAACGGUCUUACCGGUGACAUGUCGGUUGCAUUGACAAGGUCUGCUGUGGCCACGGCAGAAGCCCAGCCCCUCUUUUCUGUGUUGUCACUCCCCUCUCCAGCAGGAAGCUCCGAGCCUUUCUCUGAACAGUUUGGUUUCAGAAGCCACUGAGGGCAGUGCCGUGGGCAUGGCCACGGCCAAUGAGGGUCUGUGGGACCGUGAAGUACCCACCUUGACCUUAAUCCCGGCGUCCCCUCUCUUGGUGGGAGCAGCAUGGUGAACGCACAUGAGAGAGCUAGGAGGUGGCAGGAGAGCACAUGCUGUGACAGACCCUUCAGGCAUUAAAGAUGCUCCUCCUCAAGAGUGUGUGAUUCAUUUUCCUCCCAAAGUUGUUAUAUGUAUAUAUGUGUGUGUGUGAAUAUAUGUGUGUGUGUAUGUGUAUAUAUGUGUGUUUCUGUGUGUAUGUCUGUACAAAAAACGUAUGCAUAAAAUUUGUAUAUAUUAACUCCUUAUAAAGUAAGUUAGACAUACACUCUGUCUUGAGUUCACAGCUCCUUGAACUUAUACAAAGUAGCCCCCUGUUUAACUAGCAGCACAGAAAAUACCCCCAGCAAGCUUCUCCCGUGCCGUCUCGGUGGCUGACGUCCACGAGGGUGACUGCCCUCCUGACCUUGAUUUCCUUCCGCCUGCCCGUGAACUCGGGGUAGAAGGAGUCACGGGCAUGUGCUCUUUGGGGUCCUUCCUUUGACAUUGCCCAUGGGAGUGAGGUCCUGCCGUGCUGCUGGGCUCAUUAUGGCCAUUCCUGUUGCUGUCUGUUCUCCUUGUGUCACUGCGGAGGGGCGCAUGGAUAGUCCCAUUUGGGGGCUUAUGUUACAACAUACUGUAAAUUACAUUAUAUUAUAAAUUAGUCUUGCCCCUGACUUUGGUGACUGCCUGUCCACACUUCACGGGGCCUAUUCCUGGGCUUGGAGCUGCAGGCCACACACAGGCAAAUGCCCGGCUUUGGACGAAGUACCAGACUUUCCCCAGAGUGCUGGUCCUAAUUUGUACUCCCUCCAGCAGUUUGGAGAGCUGGGAACAUGGUCUGCAGUGGCUGGCUUGGAAAGGAUCUGGGAUGAGUUACCAUUGCUGGUGAUAAGAAGUACCUCCCUCAUGCUGCGUUCUCCUGUGUCCUAGAAAUGGGAGCCUUUGGUCGUGGAAUUCGACAAUCAAAGAUGGGCCUCUGCAAAGGGCUUGUGAAGAAGGCUCAGAUUUUGCUGGGGGGUGAGCAAAUGCUGUCUCUUAACGGCAAAUCCAAGCAGAAAGGCAGCCCUUUGCAGUAGUUAAAUGAGGGAGGAGUUGACAGAGCUUUGAUUUGCAGGUAGAUUCUUCAUCAGAGACCCCCCCACACCCACGCUGGGCCCACACAGGUAAACAUAGUGAAUGUCGGAGCAUUAAGUGGAAUUUUUCAAAAGCAAGGAACCAGCAGUUGGGUACCAGAGGUCGUCCAGCCUGAUCCACAUACUUCUAACCUGAGCAUCCGUCCACCUCUCAGGAUGCUGUGCAGAGCCCAGGGUCGAUGGUGACGGAUACCAGGCAGGCUCCCCUCCUCCUGCAGUGGACGUGGCUCCAGGUUUGGGUCUUGAGGUCUCCCUAGCACAGCAGCCCUCUUGUCCUGUUGCAGGGAUGAUCUGUUUCCUUUCAGAGCUUGCCCAGCUGGGAUUUGGUUUAUUAGGAAUGACAGCAGCGCCCAAUGUCAGUAGCUUAGAAAAGUAAGGGGGCACUGUGUUCUGGUCAGGGGCGGGCUAGGUGACUUGGACCAGUCUUCUGACUGGUGGGGCAAGUACUAUAGGACAGAUUAAAAAACACCACCUCCAGAAAGCAUUGGGAGAUGUUGAAGAAGGUAAUGAGAAGACCGAAGCCAUAGUGCAAGGGGUAACCUGAGCACAGUCCUGGGGGCAUUUGAUGAACUAGGCAAACUCGAUUCUGCUGGCAUUGCCACAGAGGUCAAGGUGGGCAGGGUGGUGGAAAUGUGCCCCUUAGAGCUGUAGCCAGUGAGGACCACUGCACCUCCAGGGCGAAGGUGAGUCAGAAGUAAGCCCAUUCCCCUCCUGAGAUGUCUUAUGAGUUGUCCCUCAUCAGAUCCCGUGACCCGAGUGACAGGAUGUUCUCGAGCUGCUGUGAUUCUGUCUGGAGAGUGCUCCUGGGCCAAGGCACAGGCAGGCAGGUCUUUGGAGGACUACACCUCUGUGCGAGGCUCAGAGAAUCUCCAGGUGUAGUUUUCAAGGAAAAUGAGCAUCCCUGGUUGGGAAUAACCAAACACAUAGAGUGCCCAGCUCAGUGCAUGAGGACCAGGGGGAACAUCUGUGAAAACGGUAGUUAAUGAGUGGUUGACACAGAGUUGAAACGUGCUUUUUACACUACUUAAAGUAAUAGACGGCACUGAAAAUACCUACAAAGAAAGGAAACUAAUGACUGAGCAGAUUUCAAAAAGGAAUCAGGUGCAGUUUUCUGGACAUGGGCAGCUCAGUCACUGUAGUUAAAAACCCAACAGAUUGAAGACAGUGACUGAACUGAAAGACAGAGCAAGAAGUUCGUAUUUCAUCUUAGAACCAAAUGGGUGAGUAGUUUAUAAGCCCGAUUAGGAAUCAGGGAAGAGAGGAGUUCCCCGUUGUGGCUCACAAAUCUGACUAGGAACCAUGAGGUUGUGGGUUCAAUCCCUGGCCUCGCUCAGUGGGUUAAGGAUCCGGCCUUGCCCUGCGCUGUGGUGUAGGUCACAGAUGCAGCUCGGAUGCCACGUUGCUGUGGCUCUUGUGUAGGCCAGCAGCUACAGCUCUGAUUCGACUCCUAGCCUGGGAACCUCCAUAUGCCGCGGGUAUGGCCCUAAAA
ensembl:lncRNA